CCCUUACGGGCGAAGAUAAGACGGAUUAGCGGCGGACGGGUGAGUAACACGUGAGUAACCUGCCUUUUACACAGGGAUAGCCUCGGGAAACCGGGAUUAAAACCUGAUGAAACUAUCAAAUCACAUGAUUAAGAAAGUUAAAACUCCGGUGGUAAAAGAUGGACUCGCGUCCCAUUAGCUAGUUGGUGAAGGUAACGGCCCACCAAGGCAACGAUGGGUAGCCGGCCUGAGAGGGUGAACGGCCACAUUGGAACUGAGAAACGGUCCAAACUCCUACGGGAGGCAGCAGAA
rnacentral:rRNA from 1 species